rnacentral:misc_RNA from 1 species
AAAGUCGUAACAAGGUUUCCGUAGGUGAACCUGCGGAAGGAUCAUUAAAAAUGAACAAACAAAAACACUGUGCACCAAAAUACAAACUAGUCAUAUUACAGUUUAUAAUAUAUAAUUAUACAACUUUUAGCAACGGAUCUCUAGGUUCUC